UUAGCAGUAGAUGCUACCUUGAUACACAUGUAGGGAGAGAAACUAUUUGACUGCACUAUGAGGCUUGUACUUUUUGUGUCUUCCUCUUCCUUCUCAGCAGAUCUGCUCUUGCCAAGCUGAAGAAUGCUGUAUCUCCUGGGUCAUCAAAGAUGGAUAACAUAGUGCUGCAUAUAUAUUCUAAGACUAGCUGACAAGAAGUUAUAAAGAGGGAGAUUCAAUGAGUUAAUAUGGCUUUUAUCCUCCUUUGGAAGAAAUGAAAUGCUUUGCUAUAAGUUCUGAGAAGAAUCAGCAGGAGCAUGGUUUGUCAAAGGAUUUCUGUCAUCACUGAGCUUUUGGCCCUCAACCGUCAGUGCGGUUUUGUGCACCACCACCAACCUCAGCUGCAACUAUUGACAGACAGUGAGAGGUGAAGGAAUAUCAGACUGCUGCUCAGCUUUCCUGGGUAAACGUAAGCGCUACUUAAACACCAAAAUUGUGAAUAGGUAGCUCAUGGCUGAAGCAUUCAGGAUUCAGUUUUCCCAGCAGGAAGAUCUGAGAACAGCUAUUAAUGUGCAGUUGAAAGCACUCAUCUAUGUCUGCUCCCUUAAGUGUCUUCUAGCUUCCUAUCGUAGGAAAAUUUUUGGCUUUUAGCAGACCCUCUCUUUCAUGGGGGUUUGAGGGGCUCUGAGACACUGAAGAAGGAAAAAGCUUACAGAAGUGCUUGUAGGCAAUGGGGUGCGUCCUCCUGCAGGUGAAGGGUGUGGGUGUAUAUGUACAUUUGGAUGUUUGGGGGUCUGGGAGAAGGAAGCAGCAGUUGCUGCUUGCCAUGGGAGCCCAGAAGGUGCUGACCUGCUGCAGCCAAGCCAACGGGACAACUGGCUACCUCAGCUGCUCAGGGAAACAGGACUUGGCAGUACAUCUAGUAAAGAAACUACUAAAUGAGGAAGGAUUCUCUGAUAUUUUCAGUUGGGACAUAAACUUGUGGAGUCUUAAAAUCUGCAUCUACUGGUACACAAACAAUGAUUUUUACAUAUUUGGAUUAAUAUGCCUUUCUAUGUCUUCACAUGCUUUCCCUGAUGUUUCACACAUGCUGUAAUGAAGAAAUAUGCAUGUUGUGUAUAUACGCAAGAUUUUUUUUCCUGCCAGAUCAACUUAUAGUAGUUCUUUGUCCAUCUAACAGGUCUUAAAAGUCAGGCACUGAAAAAAAUGGUAGGGAUGAGUGAGUCAUCUUAGCUACUCUUCAAAUGCCUGUGAAAUAAAAUUGGGCAUUUAUUGUUAUUUUGACUGGGUAUGUUAUCUGCAUUGACACACAAAUAACAAUUCUGUUGUUCUAAAUGCAUACUAUUAAUAGCCACAAUAUAGUCAUCUGGGCAGACAAACCAAGUAAGCUAGGUAGGAAAAAAAAGUGUAUGGAGAGGGGACUUGUUUCUUUAAUCUGCGAUGGUGAGAAAUCGCAUCCCUCAGCUUUCUGAGACCUAAUUUGAUAGUAUCUGUCAGUACUGUUUUUUUCUCCCCCCUCAUGUGUUCAUAUUAACUAACUAAAUGUGUGGAGACACUUCUAGGCAUGUCUGAGAAACAGUCUUCCACCCUGCUUUUUUUGUCAUGACAUUUAGUUAAAAGGUACUGAUGAGUGCAGCAAUAGGAGCUUGUCACCAGUGUUAUGGUUAUUUCUCUUAGGAAUCCUCUUUGAGGGAAAACUGGUUUAAUCACAGCUGAUGAAAGGAUUUGGUCACAGGGUCCUGGAUUUUCUGACCUCCUAAAACAGCAUAGUGUUGCAAGUACUGAUUUUCCUUUUUUUUUUUUUCUUUUUCCUUUUGUCCUGCAAGUGAAGAAAGCUUGUCUGUGACAAGUCAGCUCUGGCCCCAGACUGGUUUGGUCCUCUUCUUGGUAAGAACCACAUGGACAAAAAGUUUGGUCUUAACAUGAGAUUUGCAUGCAAGAAAUGAUUAAAAAGGUAUAGACUCCAUUUUAUGUAGAGAGAUGCUCCCAGCUGUCUUGAGGCAAUGUCUGCCUGCUCUGUUUUGUCGUUUCAAUGGCUUACAAACUUGGCUUACUAAU